rnacentral:lncRNA from 1 species
UUUUUUUNUUUUUUUUUUUUUUUUUUUUAAUCAGGAGGCCUUGGCUAAGACACUUUUUUCCAUCUGACUUUGCUUUUCUAGUACUAUCCCUUCCCCUCUCCAUCCUCUGGCUCCUCAGGUCCACAAGGAGACUCUGCAGGCAUCUUUGUUCUGUGCUCCUUAGCAGUGAGACUAUUCCUCCAGUCCCAGCUCCCAUUACCAUUCUCCAGGCAGAUGUAAAACACUGGGGAGCUGGUGCCUUUCUUUUAGGCCUCUUGUUUGUAUUGUCACAAUAAAUAAAUAAAGACUUGAUUACAACUUUCAGUUUAGCCCAUUGUCCUAACUGACUACUGCCACAAUUGGCAAGCUCAACAGAUGAAGCUUUCGUUAGCUCCUCAAAGGGGGCUGUUGCUGCCAAAAUGACAAGUAUCUUGCUUUGUGAAUCUCAGACUGUCUAGAAGCUCAGCUUUAUGACUAAGAAUAAGAAUGGGUUGGGAGCUCCUGUCGUGUCUCAGCAGAAACAAAUCUGAUCGUAUCCAUGAGGAUACAGGUUCGAUGCUUGGGUUAAGGAUCUGGCAUUGUCGUGAGCUGUGGUGCAGGUUCCGGAAACUGCUGGGAUCCUGUGCUUCUGCGAUGUAGGCUAGCAGCUAUAGCUCCUAUUUGACCCCUAACCUGAGAAUCUCCAUAUGCUGUGGGUGCAGCCCUAAAAAAAAAAAAAAGAGAGAGAGAAAGAAUGGGUUUGAUGAAGUCUCUCUCAACCAUAAUGCAAUAUGUUUUUCAAAUGCUUGGUGAAAGAGUUAAGGAAGCCACUGACACACUGAAGCAGGUCAAGAAGCAUAAAUAAUAAAGACUUUAUUUCAUAUGGUAGUAAAUAUGUACAAAGCUUAGCACUCUAUAUUUUUUAAUCUCAUUUAAGCAAUAAGACAGACCUAAGAGGUAAGUGCUAUUGUUAUCUUCAUUUUAUAAAAAAAUAAAGACUAAGAAAGUCUAACAUGGUAAAAUGGAUUUUAUAAGCUAUAAAUGCUAUAAAUGCAAUUUUGUCAACAUUGGAGUUCCUGCAACAGUACAGUGGGUUAAGAAUCUGACUACAUUGGGUUGCAUCUCUGUGGAGGUGAAGGUUCAAUCCCUGAUCCAGCUUAGAGGGUUAAAAGAUCUCGCAUUGCUGGAGCUGUGGUGUAGGUCACAGCUGUGGCUCAGAUUCAGUUCUUGGAGGGGGUCUUCCAUAUGCCACAGAUGCAGCCAUAAUCACUGUGUAGUUUAAGAAAUAACUUUUCCAUGUAGAUCUUACUUAAACUUAGCUCUUUCAGCACCCCAGUCUAAGAGAAUUUUUUAAUGCCAUGAUCUUGUCAAAUUGGAUGCUAUUAGUGUUUAAGGCUGGCCAAAGCUUGUAUUAAAAAAAAAGCAUUUGGCUAUGAUUGGUGACUGAUAAAUGUUAAAUAAUUGAUGGUUCUAAAUAUGGUUCAUUAUUAUUUAUUAUUGCUAUGGUUCACUAUUAUUGUUAUAGAGUAAUACAAAAUAAUAAUUUUGUUAAUUUUAUAAUGCUGUUAACACGACAAUGGAAUUUUAGAUUCAAAGUUUUACUCCAGUAAUUCUGGAUAUAAUCAGUAACUACAACCCUUCUGAAUUAUUCUGAUAUUCUUGGAAUAAAGAAAGGCCCAUGUUGAGAGCCAAAAUUGCAAGCAUGUAUUUCCUUUGUUGGUAGAUUAACAAUAUCAAUAAAUUGUUUAAAACGUUAGUAAAGAAAGAAUGAAAAAAAUAAAUUUUAACAAUCUUAUGAACUGGUGUGAUAUUUGACUCUAAAGUCUGCUUUCUUACCCAUGCUGUUACCUUCUACAGAGGAAAUAAAACUUUCUUUAUUCUUAGACUCUUAGGAAAUUUUCCAUAAGAUCUAAUUCAUCCAGAAUACACCAUUUGUCUUAUAAUUUCCAUUUGUAGACAGAGCUUAAUAAAAAUUUACAUAGAUCCAAGUAUUCCUUACAGCUUUUUUGCCUUAUCACCCACUCAACUACCUUCAGUCCCCAAGCUUUUACCUACUAUUCUGCUCCACUUUAUUAUCAGGUUCAGCAUCCCUAUACAUUUUUUUGUCAAGUCUAUCAGAUUCUCUAGGGAAGUGGGUCAUUUUCUUGCUCAUUAAAUCUGUCAUUUUGUUUUUCUAAUAUCAAAUAAUAUUGUAUACCCCACAAGAUACCGAUUAUUUUCACAAUCACAGAUUUCCAUAUUUCCAUUUCUAUAUCCUGCUAUAACUACAUGAUAAUCUUGAAAAUCACCAAUAAAUUGGUGUACACCAUGAAUCAUUUUUUGAAAGUGGCACCUUUUCUUGCUAUAGUCCAUUGUAUUUCCUCUUCCCAAUAAUUGUAAAAAUAUGUGACUGCAAAUAUAAAUCACCAGUAACCAUGGAAAGAAGAGGUAUCUUGGCUUAACAUAUAAAACUGAGCUUUGGAAUUAGACAAACAGUGGUGCCCUGAAAAGCUGCCCUGAAAAGCUGCAUGAUUUUGGAGAGAUGUUUACUUCUCGGUGUCUCAGUCAAUGUCUCUUCACUGUGAAAGGAGGAUUACUCUCACUUUGCAGUCAUUUUGGAAAAAAAAAAAAAAUCUAGUUAAUGUAUCAAAAAUACUUGACUCACUGCUUGGCAACUAAUAAUACAAAGGUCAAAGCAUUUCUGACAGCUAGGCUUAUGUUAAGAGCUUUACACGUUUUUUAUCUGAUUUGAUUUAAUCCUCAUAAGAACAUUAUGAUGUACAGACUUGUUGCAAGAAGAGGUACUUUUCCCAUUUCUUCAUUUUCAUUCUCCAUUUCAGAUGUUUUUGUUGAUAUUUGUGCUAUGGACUAAAUUGUGUCCUUGACAAAAUUCACCUUUUGAAACCCUAACUUAUAACUAUAUUUAGAGAUGGGCCUUUGGGAGGUAAUUAAAACUAAAUGGGUCAUGACUGUAGAACCCUCAUGAUGGCAUUUGUUGCUUUAUAAGAAGAGGAACAUUGCUCUCUUUCUCUCUCUCUGCCACUGAAGAUACAAAGAGAAGUUGGCUAUUUGCAAACCAGAAAGAGAGCCUUUAUCAGUCCAAUCUCUUGACACCUUUAUCUUGGACUUCCAGAUAUUAAUCUUAGUCUCCAGAACUAUAAGAAAUAAGUGUUUGUUGUUUACCCAGUCUGUGGUAUUUUGUUGUAAUAGCCCAAGUAGAUUAACACAAGCUGAGAUGCAAUAUAUCUUAUAUCAUUAUUAUUUAAAAUAAUAAUCAUCUGAUUACUUGUUUAUUCCAGCUAUUGAAAUCCAUUUAUCAAAUUUUCUAUAUAUUUUUUCAAUAUCUCCAUUAAAUAAACACUUCGUUUUUCUCUCCUGCAUUGUUCUUUUCCAAUAAUGCCAUCUAAAAACAAUCUUAUUCCUUCUUUUUUUCUCAAAAGAGAUAUUGCAUUCUAGAGGACAGGAAUUGUCUCUUUUCAACUCUUGAUCUUUUAUAACCUAUAACAGAAACUCACUAAAUAUCUAACUGAACUAAUGCAAUAAAUUGGUGGAAGGAGAUUAAGUUUUAUUCUGUAAAAUAUGCACUAUUUGAUUAUGUUGAUAAGGAGAGACAUGUAUUAUUUAUUUUAUUGAAAAAUCUCAUAAAUACUUUAUGUAGUUUGAGAUCAUUCAUAGAUAUGUAUAUAUAUACACACAUAGAGAGAGAGCUGUAUAUAUACAUAUUCAUAUAGAUUUAUAUUAUAUAUGCAGAAAUAAAAUAUAAGCACAUUAAAAUAUCAAAGAUAACAUCCUGAAUAUAAGUUUAAGGAUGACUUUUUCUCCUAAAUAUUAUGUACAUAUUUUUUUUCAAAUCUACUACUUUUAAUUCUAAUAAAAAUGUUAAAAUUCAGGGUUUUUUUUGAAAGAUUUUAAUAGACACUAUUAUAAGAAAUCUACCAAAAAUAGUUGUAGAAUUUCAGUGCCAUGGAGUGAAAAAAUCCAGAUUACACAUCAGGUCAAAUGCCAGAUUCAGUGACGCUUUCCAAUUUGAGCUUGUCUUAAUCAUAUUUUGGAAAGUAUGGUAGAAAUACAAAAUGGAUGAAGCUCAUUGAGGAGGCUUAAAAUGCUUUCCGUGUUUAUCCCCCAAACAAAUUGUAAUUGAUCUGUCAUAAUGUUCUACUUUUUGGAACAUAAAGGAGAAAUAAAUAAUGUUUAUAUGUAGGCCACACUGUAGUUUAGAAGAGCCUAAGAACACUUUUUUUUUUUUUGAGAAUUACUUGACAUCUACAAGCCUGGUACUCAUGUACAUGGUGCACAGGUGUUAGUUCAGCUUUUGCCAGGCCUCAUGACUCUGACCCAAGCCUACUUAGUUGUCUCCUUUUCUUCAGGAUUCCUUAUCUCCAGCCUCCCCAGUUCACUUCAUCUUGAAAUAUGUCCCAUGUUCUCCCCUCUCUUUCAGCCCAGAUGAUGCAUGCUUAUUUUCCAAGGAGUCUGGAGCAGUUUUAUAAAUUCUCUUCUCUAUUGCAUUCUUGUCAUAGCCCUGAUUCACGUAGACAUUGCUUAACUGUCCUGAAGAGUCAAUGCUAGAAGUAAAAUACAAACAAAUUAAAACGGAAUAUUGCCCUUGUUGUUCUUUUUAGGAUCCCCAUCAAAACAUUAAUCUUCCUCAAGGAAUAAUGAAUAACUAUAAAUAAUUGGAGAACAGCCAACUAGAUGAAUAAUGUGAAAGAAAAGUUCAAUGACUAAUAUUACAAAUUUCACUUGCUGUACAGUCUCCUACUUAUCUAUCAUCAUGCCUGUACUGUGAACUCUUUCAGGUCAGAAACUAUAUCUUAUUCUUGUAGCACAAUGCCAGGCUAGCUCAGAGAAGACACAGAAAUGCCCACAUUCAAUGAAUAAAGUUAAUACACAUUUCUCUAAUUAUAUGCUUAACUACAUAUUCGUUCUUUUAUUUUUUUUUUAUUUUUUAUUUUUUGGCUUUUUAGGGUCGCACCCAUGAAACGUGGAAGUUCCCAGGCUAGGGGUCCAAUCAGAGCUACAGCUGCUGGCCUGUACCACAGCCACAGCAACAAAGGAUCCAAGUUGUGUCUGGGACCUGCACCACAGCUCAUGGCAACGCUGGACCCCCAACCCACUGAGCAAGGCCAGGGACUGAACCCGCAUCUUCAUGGAUUCUAGUCAGAUUCCUUUCCACUGCACCACGAAGGGAACUCUGUCUUUAAUUUUAACUUUAAAACAUUUUUUAAACCUUUUAGAAAUAAAACAGCUGAAAAGUAUAUGUAAUAGCUUACUUUGUAGCCUUAUGAUUCGACAAGGGACAUCUUCAUCAAAUUCUAUAAUAAAUGAAUCUCAGUAGAAAAGCCAUUGCAUGUUCUCUCCUGCGUU